AAGGAUACACAAAAGAAUGCCUAAAUCCCUAAAGGUUAGAGAAGCUUGAAAGUCAGCUGCCAUACGACCACCCAUCCUCCUCCUGCCCGUCCCCAUUUCCCUCACUCACCUGAACCACACUACUCUUCUUCUUCACGACGACCUGGGCGGACAGCCAUAGAAAAAGACCAGCUAUAGCCCAUCGCACAGCCAAACGACCGCCCUGAUCUCCCGUCACCUGUUCGUCCACCACCAUCCUAGACACACAACACACACAGACUCAGCCGUUCCUGUUCUUCUACUCAAAGGUGAGAGCCUAAGUUCUGUUCGUGGUGCUGUUCAAAUCCCCAUGUUUGUGAGGCUGUCCGGCCAAGCUCAGAUCUGGAAAAUGAUUUUGUGUUCGAGGCUGCUGGCUUGAUGUCGUCGUUCUGUUGCCGAGUUCAGUCCGAUCGAGUCUCAGUCGUCUUUGAAAAGUCGAGUUUGUUCCGAAGAGGUUUGGUCGAGUUCGUUGGGAUUCUGACGAAGCAGUUCAUUUUUUCGUUCGAGUUUUCUAGAUCCGAUGUCGAUUUAAGGUUCCGCAAUUUUGGCGGGUCAAGCUUAACAAAGGUCCGUUUCUUUGUUAAAUUUGGAUGUUCGUUUUACAGGUCAUCUUGUACUGGUUUGGGUUUGAGAUUCUGCCAUUUUGGAAAUUCACAUGUUAAUGUUAUUUAUCUUUGUUUUGUAUAGUUUGUUUGAGUUUGUUAUUUUGUGAUAUUUGUGUUGUUUAUAUUAACAUCGACCAACCCCAUUUUCAAUUAGAAGGUUGAGGAGAAGAGGGGAUGAGGACAAGAAGGGUCGCUCUGGCGGUAAGCAACCUCCAAUUCCAACCAAGAUGUUGUGAGUUCGAGUCUCCCCAAGAGUAAGGUGGGAAGUUCUUGGAGGGAAGGAUGCCGGGNNNNNNNNNNNNNNNNNNNNNNNNNNNNNNNNNNNNNNNNNNNNNNNNNNNNNNNNNNNNNNNNNNNNNNNNNNNNNNNNNNNNNNNNNNNNNNNNNNNNNNNNNNNNNNNNNNNNNNNNNNNNNNNNNNNNNNNNNAGUUCUUGGAGGGAAGGAUGCCGGGGGUCUAUUUGAAAACAACCUCUCUACCCAAGGGUAGGGGUAAGGUCUGCGUACACAGUACCCUCUCCAGACCCUACUAAGUAAGAUUAUACAUGGUUGUUGUUGUUGUUAUGUUAAGAUUGAGUAUGGAGAUGAAAUGGACAGAAAUGGAAAUUGAGGCUGCAUAAAAUUUGAAAACCGUUGAAUUCACUAAUUAUAUCAUUAGAGUAAUUUAGUUUGAUGCAUUUUUCAUGAUUAAAUUUGCCGGCGAGGUUCCAGCUACUGUUGCGUUUUUUGGUUCGAGUUUUGAGUUAGGUAGCUGGUCCAAGCUAAAAGAUCCAUCCUUUUAAUUGUGCCUGAACUUGAAAAUGUCCAGAUUUUAAAUGUAAUCAAUUAGGAUUAUUUUUCUUUUUUUAGAGGCAAAAACUAAAAUAGAAAAUAUAGUCGCUUUUAGGCUUACCCUUUAAAAUAAAAUGAGACGAUCCUCGCCCAAUAAAGGUUUAAAAAUACUUAAAAAAUCGGAAAGUUUCAUUUAGCAAAUUUCACGGCCCUCCCAAAAAAUAAUAACGCAUUAGACCCUUUUAGACGCUAUUUUAAUAAAAUUACAUUCCUAAAUAUGGGUGGGCAUUUUAUGCGGCCAAAAUCAAAAUCCUAAAAUGUUGAAUAGAGUGUGUCUAAGAUUGCGGGUUCAUUUCCUGCGGCGCAAUCAAAAAAUACAUUUUAAACGACGUUCACUUUCUCUUAAAUAAAUACGUAUUAAAUAAAAAUGGUUAAACAUAAAAUUGGCACAUAAGCUCUUCAUGUAUUAAAAUCAGAUUCUAGCCAUUCAUGGCAAUUUAAGCAACCGUGCUAGAACCACGGGAUCCGAGGGUGCCUAACACCUUCCCUCGAGUCAACAGAAUUCCUUAUUCAAAAUUUUUGGUUCGCACACUCCACUCGAAAGUCGAAGUUUUCCUCGAUUCGGGAUUCAAAAUAAAUUUGUGACUUGGGACACCAAGAGCCAAACUUAUCCCAAGUGGCGACUCUGAAUAAAUAAUCUCGGUCCAAAUAACGUCACUUUAAAUUGAAAAACUCCCUUAUACAUAAUCCUUCGGGAUAGAUGUGUAAAAAGGAGGUGACAUAAGGAUAAUGUUGAACCAGUGCAGGACAAAAAUGCAAAAUGCUCAGUCUCUGAAGAUUGCUUACGCGGCCGCACACCAAAAUAGUGCGGUCCGCGUUGGCCUGAGCAACUGUAAGUUAUGGCUCAAAUGACCCAGCGCGGUCCGCGUGACAUUACUGUGUUGUAGGAAGAUCAAAAAUGGCAUCUCUCUGACAAGUUCCCACGCGGCCGCGCACCAAAGCAGUGCGGUCCGCGUGGAAUGAUCAGCUAAUGUGAAGGAUGGAAAAUACAACGCGGUCCGCGUCCCUUUCUGUGUGGCCGCGCUGGUGGGUAGGUACUGGGUCCCAAGGCUUUGCUAUAAAUAGAGACAUUCGUCCUCAUUUGAACUUUUUCACAAAAUUUCCUCCUAAGCUCUAAUUUUCACUGUGCAUCAACAUCAUUUGCUCACAUAGUUGAAAUUCAUUCAUCACUGGUAACAAUUCUUGUUCAUAUCAUUCAUAGUCUAAUUUUUGUUUCUUUUAAUUGCUUUCUACUAGUAUAACUUCUUAUUUUCAUUUUUUCUUCUUAGUUUAACUGUUAGAUUAGAUGUUCGUGUGUUUUUGUUGAAUCAUAGGCGUGAGAUUGUGUUAAAAGUUAGAGUAGGGACACUUAGGACCAAAAACUGAACAAAAAUUGGACUUAAUUGAACAAAAUUUCGGCUCAGUUAAAUUAGCCCUACGCGGUCGCGCGACAUUUUUGCGCGGUCCGCAGCAUGACACUUGGCGUGUGAUGAUGCACCCUCUCAGCACGGUCCACGUGCAAUUUGUGUUCAGUCCGCUUAAGCCCAGUGCAACCGUGGUCCAAAACAAUGCGGAGCGUGUGAGAAAAGUUCAGCGAAGUAGCAUUUUGAGAACUUGAACUGAGCGGGCUGCGUACCAUUUUUGGGCGGUCCGCGUUGAAGCACGCGUCCACGGUCCAAAGCAGUGCAGACCAUGUCAGAUUAUUCAGAGAGGUGAAUGUGUGGAGUAUUUGAACUGCACAGACAGCGUACCAUUCUUGUACGGUCCGUGCCCCUCUAUAUGUGUCACUUUUUCUGCACUCUUUGCAUUCAAUUGAACUGUCUACUUCACCUUAUGAGCUUCUACUAAUAAUGCUAGACAUGUAUUCCUUGCAGACAAUGGUUCCAAAGAACAACAACCCGGGAGAGGUGGUUCCUCCCAAGGGGAGAAAAGUAAGAGAAUUGUGAAACUCACUCCCCAAACUUGGGAGAUGAUAAAGAAAACCCGUAAGAUAAUUC
rnacentral:lncRNA from 1 species